CAAAGUGAGAAGGUAUACUACCUACAGAAGAACCCCAAUCAGCUCCUGGACAUGCUGGGGAAGCUGUUUGCAUUUUCUUUCAUCUGGAGUAUUGGAGGUAUGUUCAAGCUCCAGGAGGAUGCUGAUGAUUACGACAUGAUCAGGCGGGGCCAGGACAAGGGGGAGAGGGAUGCCAAUAUCUGUAAUGAGUGUGAUAACUUCAUGCAUGAGUUAUUUGAAGUGGAACCACCACUUGGAGAAUCUGGAGUUGGCAAGUCGGCCAUUAUUAACCACAUGUUAGGCAGACUGGGAUAAGAUGGUGCAACAUCCACUAAGAGUGGCACCGUGCUGGGUCAGAUCCUCAGCUACUCAGACAAGACCAACACGCUACUGGAGAGUAUCUCAAAACUCACAGAAAUGGACAACAAUGACUAGUCCAAAUGUAUCAACGUCCUUCUGGGAACAGCCAAACCUAAAAGUUCUGCUGGAGUGAUCAGUUUUAUGUUUCAGUUCUCAGCUCAGACGACAGCAGCUAGACUUAAGGCUCACAUCAUGCACAAACUCAUCAAGAAGGGCAGGGACACUGGGGGCUCCCUGGGGGAAAAAGGUGCUGGUGUUUGUGGAUGAUUUGAACAUGCCGGCCGCUGAGGUAUAUGGAGCCCAGCCACCCCUAGAGUUACUGAUGCAGUUCUUGGAACUUGGUGGAUUUUAUCAUGCUGGGAAAGCUCAUCUUGUAUGGGAGGAUAUUUAUGACGUCCAUGUGGUGGCAGCCUGUGGACCACUAGGUGGAGGCAGGAACCCCAUCCGUUCAAGGCUCCUAAAACACUUCAGGUCAGGCAGCUUUCUAACUCUGAAUGUAUAAUAUCUAAAUCCCCUCUAGACCAUCUCUCAGUUUAGAAUUGGUGUUGAAUAUGGAAUAUAAAGUGUUUGUGCAAUAUUUGUAUAUGGUGUAGUGCAUGUUACAGAAAUAUUUGUUUUUAUUAGCUCACCUGAGCCUAAGGCUCAAGUGAGCUUUUCUGAUCAAAAUUUGUUCGUUGUCUGUCAUUGUCGUUGUUGCAGUAAUUGUUGUAAACUUUUCACAUUUUCAUCUUCUUCUCAAGAACCACUGGGCCAAUUUCAACCAACCUUGCUACAAAGUAUCCUUGGGUAAAGGGGAUUCAAAUUUGUUCAGCUGAAUGGCAACACCCUCUUCCAAGGGGAGAUAAUUAUGAAUUAGGAAAAAUUAAUGGCAUUUUUAAAAAAUCUUCUCAAGAACCACUGGGCCAGAAAGGAUGAAACUCAUGUGAAAUCAUCCUCAGGUAGUGUAAAUUUAAGAUUCUUCAAAUCAUGACACUCAGGGUAGGGUGUGGCCACAAUGGGUCAUCAAAGUUUUACAUAGGAAUAUAUAGGAAAAAUCUUUAAAAAUCUUCUCAAGAACCAUUGGGACAGGAAAAAUGAAACUCAUGUUGAAUCAUCCUCAGGUAGUGUACAUUCAAGUUUGUUCAAAUCGUGACCCCCCUGGGUAGCCACAAUGGCCAA